UUUUAUAGAAUACUUUUCUAUAAUUCGAAAGAUAUUAUUCCUUUUAUUAUUUUUAGUUUAGAAAUAAAUUUAUUUUUGCCACAUUAUGACGAAUUUUCAUUAAAGUAUUAUAAAAAGUUACCGGGAAUCGUUAUAUUGAUAAUGAUACUUUUAUCAGGAAUAACAUUAUAAACAAAAACACAUGUUUUGAGAUAUGAUUCCUCACGGACUGGAGGAAACGGCGUUAAGCAAAGUCCUCGUCUACUUUCUUUUUGCUUAAAAAGCAAGAUUGAUUAUAUGAUUAUCCCUACUUUUAAAUAAAUGCGUGAAUAUGAGUAUUACUUCUAUAAGUUCCAAAUAUUAUAUGGAUUUACAGUUAGAUUUUGGAGAAGAAUAUGGGAAAACAGGAGUUGAAAUGGAUGAGAAAAUGUUUAAAUAUGCUAUUUGUCUGGCUCUAAAAAUUAUGUAUGGUGAUGUACGUGAUUUUUUUUUCUUUUGUGCUUUAAAGUCAUGCAUGCAAAUAUUUAAUAUUAGAAAUAUAACGUCAAAAAUGAAAAAAAAAAAACCUCUAAUAUGCAGAAUUUGAAAAAUUAUAAUUCGUAUUUAAUUUGUAUAGACCUAAACAGUAAUCCAUUGUAAGUACAACUUAAGCUUUACCUCCCAGUGAACUUUGUUUAUGAGGUGUUGAAAAGGGAAAGUUCUGAUUAUGCCAUUGUCAAGUGGAUUUAUAUUUUACUGAUACUGAAUUUAAUUUAUAUUACCCUUUACAUACCGAUUAUAUUUAAUUUGAAUCUGAGGAAGUUUUAUCGUUAUGUAAAUUUAGACAGUCACCUAAUGUGCUCAAAUAUGGAUGUAUUUCCUUCUCGUAAACAAAAAAAAAAAAAAAAGAAAUCAUUCAAUCUUUUUGAUUUUUAAGGACUUGUUAAAUAUAGUUUAAUUUAAUGUUAAAUGAGUGGCACCUAAACGGUAUAGAGAUUAGUGUCGCUGACUGCCAUGCCCAAAGGCCCGGUUUCAAAUCCUGAGAAGACACUUAUGCUUGUAAAUGUAUACUGUCGGUGCGGCUGUCUAAAUAUGUGGCAAGCCGAAAGUCCUCUCGUGUGGUUUGGUGGAAGGGGAGAGGGACCCUCGGACCCAUCCUCCCCCGGGUGCUCUCCAUCAAAAUUGGGGGCGGAACUGAGCAAAAUCACACUGUUACCUGUAUGCUCAAGGCUAAUUGCCAACAACAGGCGUAUCUUACGCUCCUUGCCACGAGGAAUUUCGUGGGUUUGGGUUGAUGUUACUGUCAGACAAGUGAGCAUAAGUAACAACAAAAAUAUUAAACAAGCAUUACUUGAAUACUAUAAAUAAAUUGAACCUCUCAUGGCAGUUACCUUAAGACAGCUACUUCUGUUUAAGAAGGCAUAACAAAAUAAUAGUAUUGAAUUUUGCUGGUUGUGUUUUCAACGAUAACCACCAUAACAGAUGACCAUCUGUAUAAUCAUCAUUGCAUAUACUUUGUAGGCAAUGCAUAGGAGCAUCUGAAUUAUACUGUUGUACUUACCUAGAGGUACAAGUCCUGAUUUAAGCUAAGAUUUAGAUAUAAUAUUAAUUGGAUUAAAUAAUAGCCAAUCCAAGAGCUCUUGAACUUAACAUUGGUUUAUUUGCAAUCUAAAUGAAAGUGACCAAAUUUUUUUCUUAAUAAUAGAAAAGAAAAUUGUACAAAGAGGAUAAUGAUGAUAUUAGGAAUUUAUGACGUGGUAUGAAUGAAAUGCUAUAACAUGUUAAUUUAAUGCGAUUUUAAACUGGAAAUGUAUAAGACCUGAAAUGUUCAUAUCAGAACUACGCAGAGAUAUUAAAUAAUAAUGAAAAUACAAAAUAAAUAUAUUUAAAAAUAACUUGAAUUACAAGCAUAACAGAUUUCAGGAAACAUCCAUUAUACAGCCUAAUUGUUGAAUAUUCAGCCACAAUUAUUAUGGUCUGUCAGGUGUUUCAGCAGCUUGGUUACAAACUUUUAGGAGAGAUUAUGUACACCUAGACAAUGGAAAAUCAAACAACAAUGCAUGGUCCAAAAUGCUUUCCUAAUGCUGUAGUGACAACACAAAACACAAGAAAGGAAGAACAUGAAAUGGGUGAAGAAACAUGUUUAUUAUGCCUAGUACAGCAAAAAUCAAGAAAUAAGAACAAAAAUUGACAAUGAUUGUCAUCAAAGAAGGUUUUUGAAAUUAUGACUCCGGACCCUGAUGCAGGUCUCGUAUCUCCGGCAUGUCGAAGAUCUGAUGUUCUGGCAAAAUACCAGGCAUGUCUUGGACUUUCCCAGCAGCUGCUAUGAUGCAUGCAACGCAUUCCUCAGCACUUCUAAUGGGGGUUUUGUACACCAGUGUCUUGACAUACCCUUCAGAGGGAUCAAUGCAAAUGAGGUCUGGUGAUCUUGCUGGCCAAUGCAACGAACCACUCCUGCCUAUCAUAUGUUGAGGAAACAUUUUGAACAUAAUUUCAAACACUUUCUUUGGUAAUGAUUGUCUGUUUUUGUUCUCAUACUUUGGUUUCCACUGCGCUAAGUGUAAUAAACGUAUAUUCUUGCCCUA